GGGCCGAUGGUCUAGUGGUAUGAUUCUCGCUUAGGGUAACACCCUCUGCUUAGAUUGCGAGAGGUCCCGGGUUCAAUCCCCGGUUGGCCCC